GCGUAGGUGGCGGAGCGGUCAAUCGCAACAGACUGUAAAUCUGUCGCCCACUGGGCUACGCAGGUUCGAAUCCUGCCCUACGCACUA
rnacentral:tRNA from 1 species